UCCAUCUUCAAUCCUAUUUCUUUCUUCUUUCUUCUUUCUUCUUUCUUCUUUCUACUUAAUCUUCUGAUAGAUUUAUCCAAAAGAGAAAGAAAGAAAGAAAGAAAGAAAGAGAGAGAAAGUAUUAAGGCAAAGGCAAACAAUAAAAUGCCCGCAACGCCUCCCAAAUCAGCCCUCCAAGUCCACAGAAUCAAUAACACCAACAUGAUCUCUCACUGCCACAAGCAACCCCAAACCCCAACUACCGGCGCCACCCUCCACCGCCGUAUCACAACUUGCUGUCCGGCCUCCGCACCAGAAACCGUCGCAUGCCACCACACCCAUCCAGUGGGACCCAACCAGUGUUCCUCCGCCGUCGUUCAACACAUCGCCGCCCCGGUAUCCACCGUAUGGUCAGUGGUCCGCCGCUUCGAUAACCCUCAAGCCUAUAAACAUUUCCUGAAAAGUUGCCACGUCAUCGUAGGGAACGGAGACGUGGGAACCCUAAGAGAAGUCCACGUGGUAUCUGGGCUUCCCGCCGCCACCAGCACCGAACGGCUUGAGAUCCUCGACGAUGAGCGUCAUAUCAUCAGUUUCUCCGUCGUGGGCGGUGAUCAUCGUUUAGCAAAUUACAGAUCUGUGACGACUUUACACCCUUCAUCGAACGGCUCAGGUACGAUGGUCGUGGAAUCGUACGUUGUGGAUGUACCCUCGGGGAACACGAAAGAAGAUACCUGUAUGUUUGCGGAUACAAUCGUUCGCUGCAACUUGCAAUCGCUGGCUCAGAUCGCCGAGAACUUGACCAAUAGCAAUCAAUCAUCUUCAUAGCUAUGUACUUAAUUUAAUAGCUUCAUCUCUUCUCUCUCUCUCUCUCUCUCUCUCUCUCUCUCGAUUUGCUUUUGGUGGUUUUUUCCCCAAAUGUGGUUGCGAUCGACAUUGGUUGCGAUAACAUGAUCGGGUGAUGAUGGCUUUUGCUUCCAUACCUGCAGCCUUCGCAGGUUUUGAUGCUUCAAAAUGAUUGCCGGAGACGGUGACGAUGCCGACGAUCGUUGGUGGGUUCACCGGAGCUCUUUAUUUAUUUAUUUAUUUAAAGCAGAGCGUCAAUGCGUCACCAUCACUCCACCACCAUUUUCGUCUAUUAUGUUUUUUUUUUUUGGGUCUUGAUUUCUGUAUUUUCUUUCUUUAAUUUACAAUAAUGGCUGUACUGUAGACUAUAGACCACUGUGAAUUCUUCCUUGUUUAGUCUAUUACUAUAUUUUAUGGGAAAAUCCUCCAUUCUCUUCUGUGGAUUGGAAUUUUGGGUA